rnacentral:tRNA from 1 species
GGAUUGUUAGCUCAGUUGGUAGAGCAGGGGACUUUUAAUCCCAAGGUCGAGGGUUCGCCCCCCUCACAAUCCACCA